UUAAUGCCAAUAACAAGGCUGUGUGAUUAUCAUCCCCUCUUAUCUCUCAUUCUCUUUCCCUCUAGACAAAGAGCUUCCUGAGAGUCCUUCAUUACUUUCUUUGAGUUCCCAGCACCUGGCACAGUCACUGGGACAUGAUAAGUGCUCAAAAAUAUUUGAGGAAUUAUACUGAAAUUAAGAACUAUUGGACUUCUUCUCCAAGAAAACACCAAAUGGCGAAUGACGCUGGUGCGGGGGGGAGCCCAGAGGCCCUGGUGGCCCUGGGAUGGGGAACAGCGGUGGCUUCUGUGGAGGUUUCGGCAGUGGCAUCCGGGGCCUGGGUCGCAGAGCUCACGGAGGCAAGGCCGAGGAUAAGGAGUGGAUGCCUGUCACCAAGCUGAGCCCCUUGGUCAAGGACAUGAAGAUCAAGUCCCUUGAGAAUAUCUCUUUCUUCUCCCUGCCCAUUAAGGAAUCUGAGAUCAUUGACUUUUUCCUGGGGGCCUCUCUCAAGGACGAAGUUUUGAAGAUUAUACCGCUGCAGAAGCAGACCCGUGCUGGCCAGCGCACCAGGUUCAAGGCUUUUGUUGCUAUGGGGGACUACAAUGGCCACGUCGGUCUGGGUGUUAAGUGCUCCAAGGAGGUGGCCACCGCCAUCCGUGGGGCCAUCAUCCUGGCCAAGCUCUCCAUUGUCCCCAUGCAGAGGCUACUGGGGGAACAAGAUCGGCAAGCCCCACACCGUCCCUUGCAAGGUGACAGGCCGCUGUGGCUCUGUGCUGGUGCGCCUCAUCCCUGCACCCAGGGGCACUGGCGUCGUCUCAGCGCCUGUGCCCGAGAAGCUGAUCAUGAUGGCUGGUAUCGAUGACUGCUACACCUCAGCCCGGAGCUGCACUACUACCCUGGGCAACUUCGCCAAGGCCACCUUUGAUGCCAUCUUUAAGACCUACAGCUACCUGACCCCUGACCUCUGGAAGAAGACUGUAUUUACCAAGUCUCCCUAUCAGGAAUUCACUGAACACCUCGUCAAGACCCACAGCAGAGUCUCCGUGCAGCGGACCCAGGCUCCACCUGUGGCUACAACAUAGGGUUUUUAUACAAGAAAAAUAAAGUGAAUUAAGCCUGAAAAAAAAAAAAAA